rnacentral:lncRNA from 1 species
AUUUCUUAAGAGCAUUAGAGGGUAUGGGUACAUAUACAAAAAGUAAGAAAAAUAAGGACAUACAUGCAAAUAAGUGUUUUAUAAGGAUAUACAUGCAAUAGCAACUUUGUGAGGCUAUUCAUGCAAUUUCGUAUAUUUAGGAUGGUAUACACUUGACCCCCCCCCCCACCAAAAAAAAAGGAAGGUUGAUGUGAUGGGAACAAAUGUCUUUUAUUUUUAAAACAAGGGAAGAUUUGUCAAAUAUUGCUGGAGAUCUUCACCUUUUUCAUUUUUAGCAAAUGUCUUUUAAUUUUAAAACUAGGGAAGAUUUGUCAAAUAUUGCUGGAGAUCUUCACCUUUUUCAUUUUUAGCAAAUCACACAUCAUUAGAAACAUGCCACCUGUAUUCUUUAGACGCAGAGAAUAAAACCUAGCUUUAAGGCUAUUGCCAGCCCUUAAUUAUGGAACCAUUGUGAAGAAAUCAUCUAUUCUUUGAUAGAAAUGAAAGAAAUCUAAACUAAGAACACCUUAGGUUUAAAAAAAUUGAAAAAGAGAAAUUUAAGAAAUUGUGACAAUAUUGUUAUUUUUAACUUAGAGUGAAUGGCUGAGGUUUAAGUUGAAGAUGUCAGGCAAUAACCAUGGAUACCAAUUAAUAUAACCUUGUGCAAUAUUCCUUUUGUCAUUCUAUGCUCUUAGUUUUAAUCGCACCCCCUGAGCCCCCGUCA